AGUGUGGAAAGAAACAAUUCGAAUGAAAGUUAAAGAAGUUGGACGUGAUUUUGACUACCAACGACUCGUACAGAGAAAAGAACAAAAAGAUGGAAAAUAAAAAUUGAGUGAGUGAAAAAAGAGAGAUGGAAGAGAAAAAGCAAUAAAAUAAAAGAGAAACUGAAUAUGGAAAAAAUAAAAAGAGGAAGAAUAGGAAAGAGAGCAAACAUGAGAGAGAAUAAAAGCUUCCCCCAACAAGUUCACGAGGAAAGGAGGAAGGAGGAAAGGAAUAAAAUUAAAUACAGAAAAAAUAAAAGAGAAAAAGGGAAAGAGAUGAAAAGAAAAAGAAUAAGAGAAAAAUGAUAAUAAAGGAAUGCAUAAAAAAAAGAACAAGUCCACAGAAAAAUAUAUAAAAAAAGAACAAGUCCACAGAAAAAUAUAUAAAAAAAAGAAAAUAAUUAAAUUGAAGAAAUCGAAAAAAAAGAAAAAGAAAAAAGAAAUAGAAAAAAACCACCACCAUAGCUGUCCACUUCCUCCCUCCCUCCUUCCCCCACUCACUCACUCACUCACUCACUCACUCACUCACUCACUCAUAUUCGUCACAAAAAAGUGAGAGGAAAACAAACCAAAAAUAAUAAAAAUGCCGGAGAUGUACUGAAAAAAAAGAGAAUGAAAAGCAGAAUUAAAGUAAAGAGAAGGAGAGGAAUAGAGGAACGUGAAGGAGAAUAAGAGUAAAAAGAUAAACGAAGGAAAAGGAUAAAAAAAUAAAAUAACAUAAAAAACUAUACUUGGAAAAACGUGAAGGCAAUGGUCAACAAAAAAAUGGUUAAGUAAAGGCGAAGGAAAGAGACAGAAACUACAUUUGUGAUAUUACGUAAAGUGAGAGAAAAGAAAAUGGGAGAAAAACAACAAAACUCCGAAACUCGACCUCGAAAAAAAUGUGUGAACGUGAAGUGGAACGAACAAACCGGAAAAUAAAGAAAAAAGACAGAUAAAACAAAUUGAAAUAGACUCCGGAUAUAAACUUUCUCGUCUUUGUGAUAAAAAAAGUGAAUGGAAAGAAAACAAAAAAAUGAAAGUCCGAAUGGUAGUAUGUAAGACAAUUAAGUGGAUGUGAAAGUGGAAAGUGGAAAGAAAGAAAAGGAAGAUGACAAAAACUAGACUGAGUAUGAUGAAUGUGAAGGUGGAGAGAAGGAAAAAGAAAAGAAAGGUGACGAAAAAUAUGAUGAAAGUGAAUGAAAAAACAGGAGAAAAGGAGACAAAAAAAUAUGUUAAGGUGAAAAGAAAAAAGAAGAGACAAAGAAGGUGACGAAAAAUAUUAUGAGUGUGAGUGAAAAAAAAACAGGAAAAGGAAAGAAGACAAAAAAAUAAGGUGACGAAAACAAAAUAAAUGAUGAAUGUUAAGCUGAAAAGAAGAAAAAGAAAGAAAGGAAGGGAGAAAAAAAGUGAGGAAAACAAGACAAAUAUGAUGAGUGUAAAGCUGAAAAGAAAAAAGAAAGAAAAGAAGGGAGGAAAAAAAGAAAGAAGGCGAGGAAAACAAAACAAAUGAUGAAUGUUAAGUUGAAAAGAAAAAAGAAAGAAAGGAAGGGAGAAAAAAAAGAAAGAAUGUGAGGAAGACUAGACAAAUAUGAUGAAUGUAAAGCUGAAAAGAAGAAAGAAAAUAAUGAAAGUGACAAUGAAAAAUGAAAAAAAUAUGGGUGUGAAAGUGUAAAGAAGAAAAGGGAAAGAAAAGAAAAGAUGAAUAUGACAAAACAAAAAAAAUGAAAAGUGAUAAAAAAAGAAAAAGAAAAAGAUGACGAAAACAAAAAUAUACGAAUGUGAAAGUGAAACAAAAGGAGAGAAUAUGGAAAGUGACCAAAAAACUCUAUAUAUAAACAUUAAGGUAAAAGAAAAAGAAAGAAAAAGAAAAAAAAAGAAAGAUGACGAAAGCAAAAAAUAUACGAAUGUGAACGUGAAACAAAAGGAGAGAAUAUGGAAGGUGACCAAAAAACUCUAUAUAUAAACAUGAAGGUGAUGAAGGUGAAGAAGGUGAAGACGCCGCCGCCACUUUUUCUGUACUACAAGAUGUGUCGAAUACUGUCCUUACGAUAAUGAUGAUGAUGAUGAUGAUGAUGCUACUUGUACUGUAUUAAAGUUUUAUAUACAAAU